GACUGGGUCCUGCGCGGCGGGCGCCGGCGAACCUGGUCAGGUCCGAGAGGAAGCAGCCAUAAGACGUGCCGCCCGGGUGCCGCAGGGGCGCCUGGUCCUC
rnacentral:SRP_RNA from 1 species